rnacentral:lncRNA from 1 species
GUUUCAGCUGACCGUGCAAGGCAGCCCGGAGGCCCAGGCUGCCCCCGCCGGCUGCCCACAGGAGAAGGAGCUGGAAGAAGAGCGCGGGGGCAUCAGGAGCAGCAAAGAGCAGCGUCCUGGCAAGCUCCUGCAGCAGCACGAGGAGCUUUCUCUCCCCGUGCUGCCAAACUGGGGGGAAGGCGUGAGGUGGCAAGGCAUGGAGAGCAAGCCUCCUGCCAGGUGAGAGCCUUGGGGGAAGGGCUGAGGGGGACACUUGUACCUGCGCAGGGGACACGUCCCCCUUUGGACACACCGGCCCGAGGGACUCAGAAAGCCUCCUGACACACGCCCCAGCAAAGGCUGCCCGCUUGCUGGAUGGAAAGCAUGCGCAGCUUUGCGGGAGAGCCUCAUGUUGCCUUCGUUUUCUUGCAGCGUCCCAACCUUUUGGGGAGCUGAAUGCAAAUCUGCAGUAGCAAACACCUCCUGCCCUUGUCCUAACGCACCCUGUGCUGUCUCCUCAGGAUCCUUAGGAAGCAGGCAGCCCCCAUCCUGGGCACCUCCCGGGGGAACGAGGUUGACAUUCAAUACCUCGAGGCUGCAUCCUCCCACUGGACCUCGGAGCAGCCGUGCUGGCGCCACUCUCAGGGGUGCAGCACAAGUGUGUGAGCGGGCUCUGGGUGAUCCUUGCAUCUCACCAACUCCUAGGAAAGCUCAGGCCUACGCGACUCCCUCCGGAAAGGGCCCUCAGUGCAUGGCCACGGCAGCCAUCGGUGGCCUCUUUGGCUGCUACUUUGGGGUGUAGUUAGGCGCUACUUUUACAAGAGCUUUUUCAGCCUGCCUUCUGCUGAAAAGCCCACAAAAGAGUGAUGGUGGCAAGGCUCAAGACAACGGGCGGGAGAGCGGGUGAAAAGCAAAAGCCAGCACCCCCUGCCCAGAAUCCCUGCCCAAACAGACAAGACCAAUUGUCAUGCCUUUCCGGGGCCCAGGAUACAGCCUGCCCUCCCACGCAGAGCUUCGGAAGAGCUGCCCACAUCUCCCCCUUGAAAGAGAAGCAGAGGCAGCACCAAGCACCGUGGGAUGAACAGCAGGCUGCACUGGAGAAACACGCACGGCGUCAGGCCCAGAUCAUGCUGCUGGAGAAGCAACUCGACCUCGAGCAGCACCGUUACCCAGACACUGACAUGCUGGGGAGGCCCCCACAAAGGCAAGUGUCCCCGCAAGCAAAGCAGAACAUGCAGCUUAUGACUUCCUACAAAGUUCUUCGGGACAGAUGGAAGGAAAGGGUGGAACAAAACUGACAGAGGCUGAAGAAGGAGGAGGAGGAGCGCCGGUAAAUCCCUCGCAACCCAGUGCUUUGGUGAUGUGCUGCCUCCGCAACAGAGAGCAGCAGGACCGCAUGCUGGGCAGUUACCACUGAAAUGGCUUUUAUCCAUGGGAAUAAAUGGCCUUUCC